GACGAACGCUGGCGGCGUGCCUAAUACAUGCAAGUCGAGCGGACUUUCAAGAAGCUUGCUUUUUGAAAGUUAGCGGCGGACGGGUGAGUAACACGUGGGCAACCUGCCUGCAAGACGGGGAUAACUCCGGGAAACCGGGGCUAAUACCGGAUAAUAUCUUCCUUCGCAUGAAGGAAGGUUGAAAGGCGGCGCAAGCUGCCGCUUGCAGAGGGGCCCGCGGCGCAUUAGCUAGUUGGUGAGGCAACGGCUCACCAAGGCGACGAUGCGUAGCCGACCUGAGAGGGUGGUCGGCCCCCCUGGGACUUGGACACGGCCCCGGCUCCUACGGGAGGCAGCCGUAGGGAAUCUUCCGCCAUGGACGAAAGUCUGACGGAGCCACGCCGGGUGAGCGGAGAAGGUCUUCCGAUCGUAAAGCUCUGUUGUCAGGGAAGAACAAGUACCGUUCGAACAGCGCGGUACCUUGACGGUACCUGACCAGAAAGCCACGGCUAACUACGUG
rnacentral:rRNA from 1 species